UGAAGCCUGAAGCUCAGGAAAGAAGCAGGCAGAGAGUUUCCAGCACCAGAGCUCUCUUCAGAUCCUCUGCCCGGCCCAGCCAUAGUAAUGGAGAACCAUCACUGCUUCCAAGAUCUGGCCUUUGAACAUAUAUAACCUUUUGAAAUAUGACCUGUUGAAAAUGAAGAUGAAUGGCACAAAGGUUCGCCCGGCUACAGCUUAUGUGCAGAGUCAGCCAUCCUAGGGAGACUCCCAGUUAUCUUUGACAUUCCGCCUGAUGGCAUUUGGAAGCAGCAACUCACUGCCAAUAUAAAUCUCAAGCUUUCUUGCUUAAGAAAAUGUGUGUUUUAUUAUUAGAGCAAAAUGCCCCACUAGAGGAAAUUUAGCACCAGCAAGAACAAUGCAUAUUGCCCGGGUACACAAAAAAAUCCUGGAGCAGCAUGCGUAAAAUGCUGCCAACAGUCCGACUUCAACAAACCACAUGAAGAUAAAAUUAGCAAUGAUCUACAUACUUGUAUGAUGCAUCAAAAGUCAGCUAUCAUCACAAAACAGCUGGAGCAAUGUGUGGCUAAGAACUUCAGCAGAUAACUACAGUCUUGCUUAGAGCAGGAUUUUCCAAAAAUACUAACUGAAUCACAAGCUCAUGGUCAGGAUAUUAAACGGAAAAGAAGUAUGAAAAUAAAAGAUACAAAUCUCA